AGCAGCCGCGGUAAUUCCAGCUCCAAUAGCGUAUAUUAAAGUUGUUGCAGUUAAAAAGCUCGUAGUUGAAUUUCGGGAUCAAUAUGUUGGUCGUGCCUCGGUACGUACUAGCAUAUUGGUUUCUCCUUUCUGAAGAACCAUGAUGUCAUUCAUUUGGUGUCGUGGGGAAUCAGGACUGUUACUUUGAAAAAAGUUAGAGUGUUUAAAGCAGGCUCACGCUUGAAUACAUUAGCAUGGAAUAAUGAAAUAGGACGUUUGAUUCUAUUUUGUUGGUUUCUAGGAUCGACGUAAUGAUUAAUAGGGAUAGUUGGGGGCAUUAGUAUUCAAUUGUCAGAGGUGAAAUUCUUGGAUUUAUUGAAGACUAACUACUGCGAAAGCAUUUGCCAAGGAUGUUUUCAUUAAUCAAGAACGAAAGAUUAGGGGUAUCGAGACGAUCAGGAUACCGUCGUAGUC
rnacentral:misc_RNA from 1 species